UUUAUGUCUUAGGCAACAAUCUGAAACUCCAAGUCCAAUCCACCUAACUAAGAGAAAGCUUCUAGCCAUAUAACAAUCCGUCGUCCUCGUCCCAAACGAUUUGAUAAGAUAGAGAAAAUAGGCGUGAUCUUGAGCUCGCGUUGAAAGUCGAAUUGGAGAUGGGUAUCAGCUACUUUAAUCCGACUUGGAGAAGGAGUCUUGGUGUCCGGCCCAUGUGCAAAUAAGGAAUUGAUCGCCUUGAUUCUACCACAUUCAACAAAGACUCGAACUGGAUUCAAAGCUUGUUCCGGUGAUUGGCCGAUUUUGAUUCGCAUGCAAGAGAAAAACUGGGGUGACUUCUCCAAUCUGGUUUUGGCCAUUCUUCCAUAAUUAAAAUUUCAAAAAGGUUACAGAGAGAGGUUAAAGAUAGCUUUAAAAAGGUGAGGCAUUUCUCUUGGUUAUUUGGCUUUGUAUGGCCUGUUUUGGAAGUGGUGGUGCAAGGCUUUUGCUAUGGUGGAAGAAGGAAAACGAGGCAGGAUGGGCAACUUCUUGUGUGAUGUGUAUUGCUGAGAUUGAAGGAAGAAAGUGUGGCGUCUUGUGCGGAAUUUUAGCGUUGGAACUUGGCCAUUCAUGAAUGACCCUAUGUUCCAGCGUUAGAAACUGCAACAGCCAAUCACGUUGAGACUCCAGCCGUUCAUGAACGACCAUAUCAGUCUAAACGCAAGAGAAGCUUUCUCUGCCGUUCUUGAAUGACCAUGGUUGUCUUCAAAAGGGUAUUGGUUGUUCAUGAACAGCCCCCUUUACUUGAAGCAAACCUAUUAAUUCUCCGCCAAAGAAGACAAGAACAACAUGAUGCAGCGUAUACCUGAACUUCUCCUUUCGAGCUGCUUUAAUUUUGCUCUCUGUUUCGGCAGAGUCUUGGCUUCUUGCUUUCAGAUUUUUCUCUCUCCUCCCCAAGUUUCUCUUCACUGUUGCCACCUUUAUAUAAGGGUGGUUGGAUAAGUGAAGCUGGAUAGCUGAUAACCACUUUGUAUUUGAAUUUGAAUAACAAGCUUAACUCUAUCACUUGUUAUCUGUUGAAUGGGUCAAAAACUUGACCAAGACUUGAAUCAAGGCUAACAGAACAUUAUCCCUUAUUGCUUGAUGUCAUUUGAACUUGUCAAAGCUAAAGGACUUUGAAUAAUUUUUGAAUAGCACUUGCUUGCCGUUUUGAGUUU